rnacentral:rRNA from 1 species
AUGCUUCUGGGAGGCUUGGGUCUGAAAAACCUGCAGAAGUUUGGGUCGGCGUUGCGCCUCCGGUGGUUGUGGUACCGAUGGGAUGAUCACUCCAGGACUUGGUCUGGAUUGCCGGUGCCAUGCUCGAAUGAAGAGUUUGCCAUGUUCACCUCCGCAACUUCGGUCACUUUGGGGGAUGGUUGCACUGCCCUGUUCUGGUUUGACUCUUGGUUGGAUGGUAUGGCGCCGCGUGAUCUAGCCCCGGCCCUGUUUCAAGCCUCGGCAAGGAAGAAGAGGACUGUUGCAGGGGCCAUGGCGGGCUCGGCGUGGCUGAAGGACCUAUCCGCCAGCUUCAAAGAUGAGAUGCUCGACGAGCUGAUUUACCUGUCCUCGAGGCUGCAGCCUUGGCGUCAGGGACUCCAUCGUUUGGAAGCUGACGGCUGA